AUUGGUUGCAGACAGCUACCAUUCAGAGGCUGGAGUGAAGUUACAAAGUUGCAAACAAAGACCAGACGGGCACUCAGGAUAAUUUGUUGCCAGUCUUCCAUCUGCCACGCAGAAAAGCUUCCUGCUUCAGUGUCCACGUGCUCUGCCUUCCUCCUCCCUAUUUCAAUGGAAGAAAUGUCUCCAUGCCUGAGGCAAGUCCUCCACUGUGCUGCAGCUCUCAGACGCUUCCAACUUCUGGACGACUUUUCUGAAAUGAUCCACCUUUUCUUCAUUUGCCCCAAGACCUUCAAGAUCUCAACUUUUGUCAAAGGUUCAGGCUUCUUAAACUGAAAAACAUUCGCUUUAAAACUCCUUCCUCCCAUGCUCCCCAUCCCCCCACCCCCCACCCACUUUUCAGUGGUAACAAUGGGUGUUUUGUCCAAUUCAUUCAGAUCAUUGUUUCCUUCUGUCUCUGUGUAGCCUCCUUUGAAGUACAUGUGCUAAGACUAUCCUCUUUUCCGUCCCCACUUGUUAGCCUAAGAACUUCCCCUCAUACCUCUUGAUUUCAUGAAAAUUGAAUUACCUGGCUCACCACCUAUCUCUUAAACUCAGCAUCAUUUUCAUAGCCCUCGCACCCACACAGAAGAUCUAUCCAACUCCCAGGACUUGCAGUUCCCUGGUGUCCCUUUCAAUUACAAUGUUCUCCACCUAAACUCACCAACCUUUCUACUGGUUAUUUCCCAGGUAUUGACAUCACCACUAACUGUACCACUCCCAGAUUCUCAUUCUCUAACAAUCACUUUUUUUUUUUUCCAGUUCACUACUUCCAAUAGUGCUACUCCAAAAGGCUUUAACACCAGGGAUUUCUAAUCAAUUUACUCUACCAUUUCUUCCCUGUGUCCUCUCUCUCUCACUUACUCACCUUGCCAAUACUUGGCUUAUAUGCCAUGAUCUAUUGCUGUACUUCCUUGCAUAUAUCAUAAAGUCACUUGACCCUUUCUCUCUCCAUUGUCC
rnacentral:lncRNA from 10 species